ACCCAACUGAGGAGUCCCAAAUAGGACGAAACGCACAUUAUGGAU
rnacentral:hammerhead_ribozyme from 1 species